AGAGUUUGAUCCUGGCUCAGAACGAACGUUGGCGGCGUGGAUUAGGCAUGCAAGUCGAACGAAUCCCAGCUUUGUAGCAAUACCGAGCUGGGGGAAGUGGCGAAAGGGGCAGUAAUGCGUGGGUAACCUACCUCGGGGACGUGGAUAGCCAUUCUAACGAGUGGGUAAUACGCGGCGAUUUGAUUGAGGGGCAUCCCUUGGUCAGGAAAUGAAUUUCGCCUCGCGAGGGGCUCACGUGAUAUUAGCUAGUUGGUAGGGUAACGGCCUACCAAGGCAAAGAUGUCUAGCGGGUGUGAGAGCACGACCCGCGCCACUGGCACUGAGACACUGGCCAGACACCUACGGGUGGCUGCAGUCGAGGAUCUUUGGCAAUGAGCGCAAGCUUGACCAAGCGACGCCGCGUGUGCGAUGAAGGCCUUCGGGUUGUAAA
rnacentral:rRNA from 1 species